rnacentral:rRNA from 1 species
GGGAAUUUUGGACAAUGGGCGCAAGCCUGAUCCAGCCAUGCCGCGUGUCUGAAGAAGGCCUUCGGGUUGUAAAGGACUUUUGUCAGGGAAGAAAAGGCUGUUGCUAAUAUCAGCGGCUGAUGACGGUACCUGAAGAAUAAGCACCGGCUAACUACGUGCCAGCAGCCGCGGUAAUACGUAGGGUGCGAGCGUUAAUCGGAAUUACUGGGCGUAAAGCGGGCGCAGACGGUUACUUAAGCAGGAUGUGAAAUCCCCGGGCUCAACCCGGGAACUGCGUUCUGAACUGGGUGACUCGAGUGUGUCAGAGGGAGGUAGAAUUCCACGUGUAGCAGUGAAAUGCGUAGAGAUGUGGAGGAAUACCGAUGGCGAAGGCAGCCUCCUGGGAUAACACUGACGUUCAUGCCCGAAAGCGUGGGUAGCAAACAGGAUUAGAUACCCUGGUAGUCCACGCCCUAAACGAUGUCAAUUAGCUGUUGGGCAACAUGAUUGCUUGGUAGCGUAGCUAACGCGUGAAAUUGACCGCCUGGGGAGUACGGUCGCAAGAUUAAAACUCAAAGGAAUUGACGGGGACCCGCACAAGCGGUGGAUGAUGUGGAUUAAUUCGAUGCAACGCGAAGAACCUUACCUGGUCUUGACAUGUACGGAAUCCUCCAGAGACGGAGGAGUGCCUUCGGGAGCCGUAACACAGGUGCUGCAUGGCUGUCGUCAGCUCGUGUCGUGAGAUGUUGGGUUAAGUCCCGCAACGAGCGCAACCCUUGUCAUUAGUUGCCAUCAUUCAGUUGGGCACUCUAAUGAGACUGCCGGUGACAAGCCGGAGGAAGGUGGGGAUGACGUCAAGUCCUCAUGGCCCUUAUGACC